rnacentral:rRNA from 1 species
GCUANNAUGCAGUCGACGAUGAGCCCAGCUUGCUGGGUGGAUUAGUGGCGAACGGGUGAGUAACACGUGAGCAACCUGCCCCUGACUCUGGGAUAAGCGCUGGAAACGGCGUCUAAUACUGGAUACGAACAGCGACCGCAUGGUCAGUUGUUGGAAAGAUUUAUUGGUUGGGGAUGGGCUCGCGGCCUAUCAGCUUGUUGGUGAGGUAAUGGCUCACCAAGGCGUCGACGGGUAGCCGGCCUGAGAGGGUGACCGGCCACACUGGGACUGAGACACGGCCCAGACUCCUACGGGAGGCAGCAGUGGGGAAUAUUGCACAAUGGGCGCAAGCCUGAUGCAGCAACGCCGCGUGAGGGAUGACGGCCUUCGGGUUGUAAACCUCUUUUAGCAGGGAAGAAGCGAGAGUGACGGUACCUGCAGAAAAAGCACCGGCUAACUACGUGCCAGCAGCCGCGGUAAUACGUAGGGUGCAAGCGUUAUCCGGAAUUAUUGGGCGUAAAGAGCUCGUAGGCGGUUUGUCGCGUCUGCUGUGAAAUCUGGGGGCUCAACCCCCAGCCUGCAGUGGGUACGGGCAGACUAGAGUGCGGUAGGGGAGAUUGGAAUUCCUGGUGUAGCGGUNAAU